GACGAACGCUGGCGGCGUGCUUAACACAUGCAAGUCGAACGGUAAGGCUCCAGCUUGCUGGGGUACACGAGUGGCGAACGGGUGAGUAACACGUGGGUGACCUGCCCUGCACUUCGGGAUAAGCCUGGGAAACUGGGUCUAAUACCGGAUAGGACCGCACCGUGAGGGUGUGGUGGAAAGUUUUUUCGGUGUGGGAUGGGCCCGCGGCCUAUCAGCUUGUUGGUGGGGUAAUGGCCUACCAAGGCGGCGACGGGUAGCCGGCCUGAGAGGGUGGACGGCCACAUUGGGACUGAGACACGGCCCAGACUCCUACGGGAGGCAGCAGUGGGGAAUAUUGCACAAUGGGCGGAAGCCUGAUGCAGCGACGCCGCGUGGGGGAUGACGGCCUUCGGGUUGUAAACUCCUUUCACCAUCGACGAAGGGUUUCUGACGGUAGAUGGAGAAGAAGCACCGGCUAACUACGUGCCAGCAGCCGCGGUAAUACGUAGGGUGCGAGCGUUGUCCGGAAUUACUGGGCGUAAAGAGCUCGUAGGUGGUUUGUCGCGUCGUCUGUGAAAUUCCGGGGCUUAACUCCGGGCGUGCAGGCGAUACGGGCAUAACUUGAGUACUGUAGGGGAGACUGGAAUUCCUGGUGUAGCGGUGAAGUGCGCAGAUAUCAGGAGGAACACCGGUGGCGAAGGCGGGUCUCUGGGCAGUAACUGACGCUGAGGAGCGAAAGCAUGGGGAGCGAACAGGAUUAGAUACCCUGGUAGUCCAUGCCGUAAACGGUGGGCGCUAGGUGUGGGUUUCCUUCCACGGGAUCCGUGCCGUAGUUAACGCAUUAAGCGCCCCGCCUGGGGAGUACGGCCGCAAGGCUAAAACUCAAAGGAAUUGACGGGGGCCCGCACAAGCGGCGGAGCAUGUGGAUUAAUUCGAUGCAACGCGAAGAACCUUACCUGGGCUUGACAUAUACAGGAUCGCGCCAGAGAUGGUGUUUCCCUUGUGGCUUGUAUACAGGUGGUGCAUGGUUGUCGUCAGCUCGUGUCGUGAGAUGUUGGGUUAAGUCCCGCAACGAGCGCAACCCUUGUCUUAUGUUGCCAGCACGUUGUGGUGGGGACUCGUAAGAAACUGCCGGGGUUAACUCGGAGGAAGGUGGGGAUGACGUCAAAUCAUCAUGCCCCUUAUGUCCAGGGCUUCACACAUGCUACAAUGGUCGGUACAGUGGGUUGCCAGUCCGUGAGGGCGAGCUAAUCCCGCAAAGCCGGUCUCAGUUCGGAUCGGGGUCUGCAACUCGACCCCGUGAAGUCGGAGUCGCUAGUAAUCGCAGAUCAGCAACGCUGCGGUGAAUACGUUCCCGGGCCU
rnacentral:rRNA from 1 species